rnacentral:tRNA from 5 species
GCCCCCGUGGCGGAAUUGGCAUACGCGCUAGACUUAGAAUCUAGUAUUACUGUGAGUUCGAAUCUCACCGGGGGUACC